GACGAACGCUGGCGGCGUGCUUAACACAUGCAAGUCGAACGGAAAGGCCCUGCUUUUGUGGGGUUCUCGAGUGGCGAACGGGUGAGUAACACGUGAGUAACCUGCCCUUGACUUUGGGAUAACUUCAGGAAACUGGGUCUAAUACCGGAUAGGAGCUCCUGCUGCAUGGUGGGGUUUGGAAAGUUUCGGCGGUUGGGGAUGGACUCGCGGCUUAUCAGCUUGUUGGUGGGGUAGUGGCUUACCAAGUCUUUGACGGGUAGCCGGCCUGAGAGGGUGACCGGCAAAAUUGGGACGGAGAUAAGGCCCAGACUCCUAAGGGAGGAAGAAGUGGGGAAUAUUGAAAAAUGGGCGGAAGCCUGAUGAAGAAACGCCGCGUGCGGGAUGACGGCCUUCGGGUUGUAAACCGUUUUCGCCUGUGACGAAGCGUGAGUGACGGUAAUGGGUAAAGAAGCACCGGCUAACUACGUG
rnacentral:rRNA from 1 species